ensembl:snoRNA
GGUGUUCAGUGACGAGAACAAGGAAUACUGCGUCAGGCAUGGCGCCCGACUCUCAAUGAGGAUUUAUUCCGCUGCCUUCCUUCUGAGAACACA